AGCAGCCGCGGUAAUUCCAGCUCCAAUAGCGUAUAUUAAAGUUGUUGCAGUUAAAAAGCUCGUAGUUGAAUUUCGGGAUCGAUACGUCGGUCGUGCCUUCGGUACGCACUGGCGUUUAUCGAUUUCUCCCUUCUGACGAACCAUGAUGUCAUUAAUUUGGUGUUAUGGGGAAUCAGGACUGUUACUUUGAAAAAUUAGAGUGUUUAAAGCAGGCAUUAGCUUGAAUACAUUAGCAUGGAAUAAUGAAAUAGGACGUUCGAACCUAUUUUGUUGGUUUCUAGGAUCAACGUAAUGAUUAAUAGGGAUAGUUGGGGGCAUUAGUAUUCAAUUGUCAGAGGUGAAAUUCUUGGAUUUAUUGAAGACUAACUACUGCGAAAGCAUUUGCCAAGGAUGUUUUCAUUAAUCAAGAACGAAAGUUAGGGGAUCGAAGACGAUCAGAUACCGUCGUAGUCUUAACCAUAAACUAUGCCGACUAGGGAUCGGAUGAUGUUAAUUUUUAAUGACUCAUUCGGCGCCUUAA
rnacentral:rRNA from 1 species